rnacentral:lncRNA from 1 species
GGACAUAGCCUUCGACCAAUAGGAAUGAAGAAUUCCAUCCCUUGCCCUCAUCCAACCAUGCUUUACUUUCAUCCCUCCCAAUAAGCCUCCUCCUGGUUUAGAUUUUCAUCUUUAGAUUCUAAUCUCCUCUCAAGGCUUCAUACUAAAUAUUUAGGUUCUAUAAUUUUUUAAAUAAUAUAAUUAAAAUAAUUAAAAUUAAAAAUAAAGUUUCUUAUAUUGACUCUCUUUAAAUUAAUCUAUUAACUAUUUUAACACACACCAAGUCUUAUAAACAUAUUAUAUGAUCUAACUAAUUUUUACAUACUAUAAGUAAUUAUAGUAUGACAUCCAUCCUCUCCAAACCUACAUACCU